rnacentral:rRNA from 1 species
AGUGAACGCUGGCGGUAGGCCUAACACAUGCAGGUCGAACGGCAGCACAGUAAGAGCUUGCUCUUACGGGUGGCGAGUGGCGGACGGGUGAGGAAUACAUCGGAAUCUACUUUUUCGUGGGGGAUAACGUAGGGAAACUUACGCUAAUACCGCAUACGACCUACGGGUGAAAGCAGGGGAUCUUCGGGCCUUGCGCGUUUGAAUGAGCCGAGGCGGGAUUAGAUGGUUGGCGGGGUAAAGGCCCACCAAGGCGACGAUCCGUAGCUGGGCUGAGAGGAUGGUCAGCCAAACGGGAACUGAGACACGGUCCAGACUCCUACGGGAGGCAGCAGUGGGGAAUAUUGGACAAUGGGCGCAAGCCUGAUCCAGCCAUACCGCGUGGGUGAAGAAGGCCUGCGGGUGGUAAAGCCCUUUUGUUGGGAAAGAAAAGCAGCAGGUUAAUACCCCGCUGUUCGGACGGUACCCAAAGAAUAAGCACCGGCUAACUUCGU